rnacentral:tRNA from 1 species
GCCUGGCUGGCUCAGUCAGUAGAACAUGCAACUCUUGAUCUUGGGGUCGUGAGUUCAAACCUCAUGCUGGGCA